GUGCUGCAUGGCUGUCGUCAGCUCGUGUUGUGAAAUGUUGGGUUAAGUCCCGCAACGAGCGCAACCCUUAUCCUUUGUUGCCAGCGGUCCGGCCGGGAACUCAAAGGAGACUGCCAGUGAUAAACUGGAGGAAGGUGGGGAUGACGUCAAGUCAUCAUGGCCCUUACGACCAGGGCUACACACGUGCUACAAUGGCGCAUACAAAGAGAAGCGACCUCGCGAGAGCAAGCGGACCUCAUAAAGUGCGUCGUAGUCCGGAUUGGAGUCUGCAACUCGACUCCAUGAAGUCGGAAUCGCUAGUAAUCGUGGAUCAGAAUGCCACGGUGAAUACGUUCCCGGGCCUUGUACACACCGCCCGUCACACCAUG
rnacentral:rRNA from 1 species